rnacentral:rRNA from 1 species
UACCAGCUCACCGAGUGGUCGGGACGAUUAUUGGGCCUAAAGCAUCCUUAGCCGGCCUUACAAGUCCUCCGUUAAAUCCAGCUGCUUAACAGAUGGGCUGCGGAGGAUACUAUAAGACUAGGAGGCAGGAGAGGCAAGCGGUACUCAGUGGGUAGGGGUAAAAUCCGUUGAUCCAUUGAAGACCACCAGUGGCGAAGGCGGCUUGCCAGAAUGCGCUCGACGGUGAGGGAUGAAAGCUGGGGGAGCAAACCGG